CCGAAUGGGGAAACCCAGUGUGUUUCGACACACUAUCAUUAACUGAAUCCAUAGGUUAAUGAGGCGAACCGGGGGAACUGAAACAUCUAAGUACCCCGAGGAAAAGAAAUCAACCGAGAUUCCCCCAGUAGCGGCGAGCGAACGGGGAGCAGCCCAGAGCCUGAAUCAGUGUGUGUGUUAGUGGAAGCGUCUGGAAAGGCGCGCGAUACAGGGUGACAGCCCCGUACACAAAAAUGCACAUGCUGUGAGCUCGAUGAGUAGGGCGGGACACGUGGUAUCCUGUCUGAAUAUGGGGGGACCAUCCUCCAAGGCUAAAUACUCCUGACUGACCGAUAGUGAACCAGUACCGUGAGGGAAAGGCGAAAAGAACCCCGGCGAGGGGAGUGAAAAAGAACCUGAAACCGUGUACGUACAAGCAGUGGGAGCACGCUUAGGCGUGUGACUGCGUACCUUUUGUAUAAUGGGUCAGCGACUUAUAUUCUGUAGCAAGGUUAACCGAAUAGGGGAGCCGAAGGGAAACCGAGUCUUAACUGGGCGUUAAGUUGCAGGGUAUAGACCCGAAACCCGGUGAUCUAGCCAUGGGCAGGUUGAAGGUUGGGUAACACUAACUGGAGGACCGAACCGACUAAUGUUGAAAAAUUAGCGGAUGACUUGUGGCUGGGGGUGAAAGGCCAAUCAAACCGGGAGAUAGCUGGUUCUCCCCGAAAGCUAUUUAGGUAGCGCCUCGUGAAUUCAUCUCCGGGGGUAGAGCACUGUUUCGGCAAGGGGGUCAUCCCGACUUACCAACCCGAUGCAAACUGCGAAUACCGGAGAAUGUUAUCACGGGAGACACACGGCGGGUGCUAACGUCCGUCGUGAAGAGGGAAACAACCCAGACCGCCAGCUAAGGUCCCAAAGUCAUGGUUAAGUGGGAAACGAUGUGGGAAGGCCCAGACAGCCAGGAUGUUGGCUUAGAAGCAGCCAUCAUUUAAAGAAAGCGUAAUAGCUCACUGGUCGAGUCGGCCUGCGCGGAAGAUGUAACGGGGCUAAACCAUGCACCGAAGCUGCGGCAGCGACGCUUAUGCGUUGUUGGGUAGGGGAGCGUUCUGUAAGCCUGUGAAGGUGUGCUGUGAGGCAUGCUGGAGGUAUCAGAAGUGCGAAUGCUGACAUAAGUAACGAUAAAGCGGGUGAAAAGCCCGCUCGCCGGAAGACCAAGGGUUCCUGUCCAACGUUAAUCGGGGCAGGGUGAGUCGACCCCUAAGGCGAGGCCGAAAGGCGUAGUCGAUGGGAAACAGGUUAAUAUUCCUGUACUUGGUGUUACUGCGAAGGGGGGACGGAGAAGGCUAUGUUGGCCGGGCGACGGUUGUCCCGGUUUAAGCGUGUAGGCUGGUUUUCCAGGCAAAUCCGGAAAAUCAAGGCUGAGGCGUGAUGACGAGGCACUACGGUGCUGAAGCAACAAAUGCCCUGCUUCCAGGAAAAGCCUCUAAGCAUCAGGUAACAUCAAAUCGUACCCCAAACCGACACAGGUGGUCAGGUAGAGAAUACCAAGGCGCUUGAGAGAACUCGGGUGAAGGAACUAGGCAAAAUGGUGCCGUAACUUCGGGAGAAGGCACGCUGAUAUGUAGGUGAAGUCCCUCGCGGAUGGAGCUGAAAUCAGUCGAAGAUACCAGCUGGCUGCAACUGUUUAUUAAAAACACAGCACUGUGCAAACACGAAAGUGGACGUAUACGGUGUGACGCCUGCCCGGUGCCGGAAGGUUAAUUGAUGGGGUCAGCGCAAGCGAAGCUCUUGAUCGAAGCCCCGGUAAACGGCGGCCGUAACUAUAACGGUCCUAAGGUAGCGAAAUUCCUUGUCGGGUAAGUUCCGACCUGCACGAAUGGCGUAAUGAUGGCCAGGCUGUCUCCACCCGAGACUCAGUGAAAUUGAACUCGCUGUGAAGAUGCAGUGUACCCGCGGCAAGACGGAAAGACCCCGUGAACCUUUACUAUAGCUUGACACUGAACAUUGAGCCUUGAUGUGUAGGAUAGGUGGGAGGCUUUGAAGUGUGGACGCCAGUCUGCAUGGAGCCGACCUUGAAAUACCACCCUUUAAUGUUUGAUGUUCUAACGUUGACCCCUAAUCGGGGUUGCGGACAGUGUCUGGUGGGUAGUUUGACUGGGGCGGUCUCCUCCUAAAGAGUAACGGAGGAGCACGAAGGUUGGCUAAUCCUGGUCGGACAUCAGGAGGUUAGUGCAAUGGCAUAAGCCAGCUUGACUGCGAGCGUGACGGCGCGAGCAGGUGCGAAAGCAGGUCAUAGUGAUCCGGUGGUUCUGAAUGGAAGGGCCAUCGCUCAACGGAUAAAAGGUACUCCGGGGAUAACAGGCUGAUACCGCCCAAGAGUUCAUAUCGACGGCGGUGUUUGGCACCUCGAUGUCGGCUCAUCACAUCCUGGGGCUGAAGUAGGUCCCAAGGGUAUGGCUGUUCGCCAUUUAAAGUGGUACGCGAGCUGGGUUUAGAACGUCGUGAGACAGUUCGGUCCCUAUCUGCCGUGGGCGCUGGAGAACUGAGGGGGGCUGCUCCUAGUACGAGAGGACCGGAGUGGACGCAUCACUGGUGUU
rnacentral:rRNA from 1 species